rnacentral:rRNA from 1 species
AGCGAACGCUGGCGGCAGGCCUAACACAUGCAAGUCGAGCGCCCAGCAAUGGGAGCGGCAGACGGGAUAGUAACACGUGGGAACGUACCUUUCAGUUCGGAACAACCCAGGGAAACUUGGGCUAAUACCGAAUACGUCCGUAAGGAGAAAGAUUUAUCGCUGAAAGAUCGGCCCGCGUCUGAUUAGCUAGUUGGUGAGGUAAUGGCUCACCAAGGCGACGAUCAGUAGCNGGUCUGAGAGGAUGAUCAGCAUCACUGGGACUGAGACACGGCCCAGACUCCUACGGGAGGCAGCAGUGGGGAAUAUUGGACAAUGGGCGCAAGCCUGAUCCAGCCAUGCCGCGUGAUGAUGAAGGCCUUAGGUUGUAAAGUCCUUCGGCGGGGAAGAUAAUGACGGUACCCGCAGAAGAACGCCCCGGCUAACUUCGU